UGGGGAAUAUUGCACAAUGGGCGCAAGCCUGAUGCAGCCAUGCCGCGUGUAUGAAGAAGGCCUUCGGGUUGUAAAGUACUUUCAGUCGGGAGGAAGGUGGUAAGGUUAAUAACCUUAUCAAUUGACGUUACCGACAGAAGAAGCACCGGCUAACUCCGUGCCAGCAGCCGCGGUAAUACGGAGGGUGCAAGCGUUAAUCGGAAUUACUGGGCGUAAAGCGCACGCAGGCGGUUGAUUGAGUCAGAUGUGAAAUCCCCGGGCUUAACCCGGGAAUUGCAUCUGAUACUGGUCAGCUAGAGUCUUGUAGAGGGGGGUAGAAUUCAAUGUGUAGCGGUGAAAUGCGUAGAGAUGUGGAGGAAUACCGGUGGCGAAGGCGGCCCCCUGGACAAAGACUGACGCUCAGGUGCGAAAGCGUGGGGAGCAAACAGG
rnacentral:rRNA from 1 species